rnacentral:misc_RNA from 1 species
GAGAAGAACGUAGUGAAAUGCGAUAAGUAAUGUGAAUUGCAGAAUUCAGUGAAUCAUCGAAUCUUUGAACGCACAUUGCGCCCGCCAGUAUUCUGGCGGGCAUGCCUGUUCGAGCGUCAUUACAACCCUCAGGCCCCCGGGCCUGGCGUUGGGGAUCGGCGGAGCCCCCCGUGGGCACACGCCGUCCCCCAAAUACAGUGGCGGUCCCGCCGCAGCUUCCAUCGCGUAGUAGCUAACACCUCGCGACUGGAGAGCGGCGCGGCCACGCCGUAAAACACCCAACUCUUCUGAAGUUGACCUCGAAUCAGGUAGGAAUACCCGCUGAACUUAAGCAUAUCAAUAAGCGGAGGA